GAAGAAGGUACGGAAAAGGAGGGAGAGAAAGAAAAUUCAAUGCACCAGGGGAACUGACCAUCAGCUGGAAAUUCUCAGCCUGAGAGUUUGUAGCCCCCUGGAGCUGGGAAGGUCAGCUGAGCCCUCCCCACAACCCCAGCACAUCAGAGGGGCUUCCCUGCGGAAAUACUCCUGUUUGAUCUGCAGAUCUGUGUAACGGAGGAGGAGAGAGGGAGGAAAAAAGCGAGAGCGGCUCUAUUCUGAUAUAUACGUACUUUUCCAGGCAUGCCCCCUGCCCUGUUGGGCAUAAUUGCCUGUUUAAUUACCUGUAUUCCCGGUGGCCUGCAAAUUCUGGGAGGACAGGGGCAAUGUUGAUCCUUACAUCCCCACACAUAGAACAGCUACCAGGAAGAGCAAGUCUCUGAUAAAUGUUUGCUGAAGGCCUGAGGAGAAGAGAGAGAGCAGCUGGGGAGAGAGAGUCUUACGUACAUACACCCCUCCUCAUCUCCAAGGGCCAGCUUCUCUCCGUCGAGCAAAUCCCUGGACAUUUUCUCUUGGCCUCAGAGGUCUUUUUAGAGUUCUUGGCCUUUCUUCUUAUGGGGGCCACAUGGAGGACAAGUUGGCAUAGUGUCUGCCACCUGGGGUUGGGGGGCUGGCCGUGCCUCUUCACCCACAUGGAUGUCUCCCACUUGCCCUCCCCUGGGGGCGCUGCAGAGUGAAGAUUGUUCUGUACCAGGCGGAGUCCUGGGUCUUUCACAACCAAUGUCUAUGGAACACGCCACCCCAAACCUGUAGACGACACAUUCUUUUCAAGUUCACAUGCAACGUUCCCCAAGACAGGCCAUAUGCUGAACCACGAGAUCACUCUCAAUACAUUUCAAAGGAGCGAAAUCACACAGAACAUGUUCUCUGAGGACGAUGGAAAUAAAUUAGAAGAGUAGAUACAUUCAAAAUCCCCAAAUAUCUGAAGAAACUCUCUCAGUGCUUGACACAGUGUAGAUCCUCAACAAUUUCUGCCUCGACAUCCUUCUCUACCACAGUAACGAUCCCUCUGCUGCUGCUGAAAGUAAAGGCCGACCACCGGCCAAGGUUACGGCCACAGUCCCAGGCCUGGCACUUACUGCCCUGUCUGCACAGUGAGCUGGGACAAUGAGUCCACCUCGGAGCCCACCCUGAGUCCCUCAGCAUUCACCAGAUCCACACUGAGGCAGGAAGAUCUCCGCUAUGCUGCCAGAAUGGGGUCCCAGCCCACUCUCCACUCCAAGGAGCCCAGCCUUCUCGAGAUGUGGGGAGAGAGCUCAACGGGGUGAUGGCUCUUGAUCUUUUUACUUAGAAUGUUCUCUGGCAGAUAAAAUCAAAUUCAUUUUGUUUAGGGAGUUUAGCCGAAAUCCCUUGAGGAACAAAUGAAGGCAGCACACAGAAAUGCCUCCUUUCCUCUGCCUGCCAUUUUAGAGGGUCCCCAAGAGGCCAGGAAUACAGUCAACCAGAGAGAAACCCAACCAGCCAAGUCAUACGAGGGAGACGGAGACUGCCAUUGUGACAACCUUUGGACUAAAGAAUGAAGUGGGAACUGAAUUUCACUGAAGGCUGUGCUUGAGCUUUUCAAGGCCAAUAGUCUGAUCCAUGUGUUUGGUUCACAAUAUAAAUGGACAAUUGUGGUGCUGAUAAGUCACCACCCGGAAGAGCCCAAGGGUGGAAGUACCUGUUAUUGGCACAUGCUGUGUAUAAACCUUCUACUGAGACUAAGCUGGUUGCAGCAUCAUUUUCCUACAAAUGAGGGUAAAGAUCUCCUAGAUAAGAAUGAGUUGGAAAUUAAGACCCAAAUUAAAGCACAUCUAAAGAGGUUGGUACGUGACAAAACCUCCUCAGAAUGCAGUCCAUGGAAGGUUUCCGCCGGGAUCCUGUCAAGAGAGGCGAGUUUUAAAAGGAGGCUGGGAUGGGGCCUCUCUUCCCUGAGAUCUGGGGCCUCUUCCCUAACACCUGAACCUGGUUCUGUGUGGUGGGGAGGCCAUAGCUAUUGAGGAGACAACAGACAGCAUUUGCCAUGGGUCUAUGAAUCCUCUAGCUAGGGGGGAAAAGACAAGAGGCAGCAAAGACAGACAGCUAACAAGAAUAGCAUCACCUCCACCUCCACCACCAUUUCUUGGGAGGAGACAUCAUGGAAGCCACUGUUUUCAGUACUUCGGUAAGUUAUAAACUCAUUUGGAUAACGCACCGCAAGUCAUGAAGCUACAGGCCACCAGGGCGUGUACAGGCAACCAAAGCGAUUCCCAGCUGAAGUUCUGAAAUCUCUGGUUCAGUCAAAACGCAGUAGAGGCACCCUAGCGGCCCGAGCACACAAAGAUAAACGGUAAACAGAAAUUCAGAGACCAAAUUCAGAGAGUCGAGGUGAAGAAUCUACUUACGUUCUCACUCACCCACCUAGCAAGUCUUUCUUUUAUUAACUGCUUACGAGAGGCCAGGCGCUGGGGAUGCACAUAUGAAUAAAAUGAGACCUCUGACCUUUAAGAACUCCCAGUCUAGUCUCUUCAGAACCCUCUAUUUCCACACUGUGACACUUCUGCUAGUGGAAGGGCACGUUAACCGUCUAAGAGGCUGCAGCAACGGGCAUAACCUGGAAUUCUUUCAUCAACCCUGGUUGUGUGGCCACCAUAAGUCCCCUCAAUACGGUGCAGCUCCCGGAGAGCAGGAACCAUCCACACAAACCACAGGAUGAAAAUUCGCCCUCCCCCACCAUACUAGUUCACCUAAGCUGACUUUUGGGGUCAACGGAAUUUAUUUCUGACUCUACCUCCCACCCCCUCACAACCACAUCAAGUAUUUCAGAUCAAGCAUCUGUGAAUCAUAGGUCAAGCUGAUUCAUUUCUUAAAGUUUCCGGAUUAUGAAUGAAAAUGGUAUCGAUCACCUGGAUGAGGAUCAAAUACAGGGAGAGACAGCGCGACAGUCGAGACUUGCUCUGCAUUUACCUGCAACAAUGCCAACUAGAUUUCCAGCAUUUUAUUGAGACGAGGAGAGAGCUGCUGAAAAAUUAGCAGGGAGUGAGAGUCGUAAAUGAAAAUGAUCCAUCAUUCCUUUUUUUUUUUUUUUUUUACCAAUUUAAGAUGUGUAACAUGCUAAUAAUAUU
rnacentral:lncRNA from 1 species